GAUUAACGCUGGCGGCGUGCAUAACACAUGCAAGUCGAACGAUGAAACUUUAAUGAACCCUUCGGGGAGAAUUAAAGCGGGUUAGUGGCGAACGGGUGAGUAACGCGUGAGUAACCUGCCUUACACAAGGGGAUAGCCUUUGGAAACGAAGAAUAAUACCCUAUAAAACCAUAAAAGCACAUGCAAUUAUGGUCAAAGUGAUAGCGGUGUAAGAUGGACUUGCGUCUGAUUAGCUAGUUGGUGAGAUAAAAGCCCACCAAGGCAACGAUCAGUAGCCGGCUUGAGAGAGUGUACGGCCACAUUGGGACUGAGACACGGCCCAGACUCCUACGGGAGGCAGCAGUGGGGAAUUUUGCACAAUGGGGGAAACCCUGAUGCAGCGACGCCGCGUGAUUUAGAAGGCCUUCGGGUUGUAAAAAUCUUUUGUAUAGGAAGAAAAUGACAGUACUAUACGAAUAAGGUCCGGCUAAUUACGUG
rnacentral:rRNA from 1 species